rnacentral:rRNA from 1 species
GCAGAACGCGAAGAACCUUACCAAGGCUUAAAUGUAUUAUGACCGUCCUGGAAACAGGACUUUCUUCGGACAGAAUGCAAGGUGCUGCAUGGCUGUCGUCAGCUCGUGCCGUGAGGUGUCAGGUUAAGUCCUAUAACGAGCGCAACCCCUAUCACUAGUUGCCAGCGUUUCUAAGACGGGGACGUCUAGUGAGACUGCCAACGCAAGUUGCGAGGAAGGUGGGGACGACGUCAAGUCAUCACGGCCCUUACGCCUUGGGCCACACACGUGCUACAAUGGCCGGUACAGAGGGCAGCUACUAUGUGAAUAGAUGCGAAAUCUCGAAAGCCGGUCUCAGUUCGGAUUGGAGUCUGCAACUCGACUCUAUGAAGCUGGAAUCGCUAGUAAUCGCAUAUCAGCCAUGAUGCGGUGAAUACGUUCCCGGGUCUUGUACACACCG